rnacentral:rRNA from 1 species
CCUAACACAUGCAAGUCGAACGAACCCGUUCGGGGUUAGUGGCGCACGGGUGCGUAACGCGUGGGAAUCUGCCCUUAGGUACGGAAUAACAGUGAGAAAUUACUGCUAAUACCGUAUGAUGUCUUCGGACCAAAGAUUUAUCGCCUAGGGAUGAGCCCGCGUAGGAUUAGCUAGUUGGUGGGGUAAAGGCCUACCAAGGCGACGAUCCAUAGCUGGUCUGAGAGGAUGAUCAGCCACACUGGGACUGAGACACGGCCCAGACUCCUACGGGAGGCAGCAGUGGGGAAUAUUGGACAAUGGGCGAAAGCCUGAUCCAGCAAUGCCGCGUGAGUGAUGAAGGCCUUAGGGUUGUAAAGCUCUUUUACCCGAGAUGAUAAUGACAGUAUCGGGAGAAUAAGCUCCGGCUAACUCCGUG